rnacentral:snoRNA from 1 species
UUCCAUGAUGAAAAUCUAUCCCAUUUUUUGAUGACGCAGGUCGGCGCCCCGUCAUGGGGUUGCUGUCUGCACCAUAAUGAUUACCUUUAUGUUCAUAGUUACUCUGACU